AGAGUUUGAUCAUGGCUCAGAUUGAACGCUGGCGGCAGGCCUAACACAUGCAAGUCGAGCGGUAACACAGAGAGCUUGCUCUCGGGUGACGAGCGGCGGACGGGUGAGUAAUGUCUGGGAAACUGCCUGAUGGAGGGGGAUAACUACUGGAAACGGUAGCUAAUACCGCAUAAUGUCGCAAGACCAAAGUGGGGGACCUUCGGGCCUCAUGCCAUCAGAUGUGCCCAGAUGGGAUUAGCUAGUAGGUGGGGUAACGGCUCACCUAGGCGACGAUCCCUAGCUGGUCUGAGAGGAUGACCAGCCACACUGGAACUGAGACACGGUCCAGACUCCUACGGGAGGCAGCAGUGGGGAAUAUUGCACAAUGGGCGCAAGCCUGAUGCAGCCAUGCCGCGUGUGUGAAGAAGGCCUUCGGGUUGUAAAGCACUUUCAGCGGGGAGGAAGGCGGUGAGGUUAAUAACCUCACCGAUUGACGUUACCCGCAGAAGAAGCACCGGCUAACUCCGUGCCAGCAGCCGCGGUAAUACGGAGGGUGCAAGCGUUAAUCGGAAUUACUGGGCGUAAAGCGCACGCAGGCGGUCUGUCAAGUCGGAUGUGAAAUCCCCGGGCUCAACCUGGGAACUGCAUUCGAAACUGGCAGGCUAGAGUCUUGUAGAGGGGGGUAGAAUUCCAGGUGUAGCGGUGAAAUGCGUAGAGAUCUGGAGGAAUACCGGUGGCGAAGGCGGCCCCCUGGACAAAGACUGACGCUCAGGUGCGAAAGCGUGGGGAGCAAACAGGAUUAGAUACCCUGGUAGUCCACGCCGUAAACGAUGUCGAUUUGGAGGUUGUGCCCUUGAGGCGUGGCUUCCGGAGCUAACGCGUUAAAUCGACCGCCUGGGGAGUACGGCCGCAAGGUUAAAACUCAAAUGAAUUGACGGGGGCCCGCACAAGCGGUGGAGCAUGUGGUUUAAUUCGAUGCAACGCGAAGAACCUUACCUGGUCUUGACAUCCACAGAACUUUCCAGAGAUGGAUUGGUGCCUUCGGGAACUGUGAGACAGGUGCUGCAUGGCUGUCGUCAGCUCGUGUUGUGAAAUGUUGGGUUAAGUCCCGCAACGAGCGCAACCCUUAUCCUUUGUUGCCAGCGGUUAGGCCGGGAACUCAAAGGAGACUGCCAGUGAUAAACUGGAGGAAGGUGGGGAUGACGUCAAGUCAUCAUGGCCCUUACGACCAGGGCUACACACGUGCUACAAUGGCAUAUACAAAGAGAAGCGACCUCGCGAGAGCAAGCGGACCUCAUAAAGUAUGUCGUAGUCCGGAUUGGAGUCUGCAACUCGACUCCAUGAAGUCGGAAUCGCUAGUAAUCGUAGAUCAGAAUGCUACGGUGAAUACGUUCCCGGGCCUUGUACACACCGCCCGUCACACCAUGGGAGUGGGUUGCAAAAGAAGUAGGUAGCUUAACCUUCGGGAGGGCGCUUACCACUUUGUGAUUCAUGACUGGGGUGAAGUCGUAACAAGGUAACCGUAGGGGAACCUGCGGUUGGAUCACCU
rnacentral:rRNA from 1 species